UGGGGAAUUUUGGACGAAUUGGGCGAAAGCCUGAUCCAGCAAUGCCGCGUGUGUGAAGAAGGCCUUCGGGUUGUAAAGCACUUUUGUCCGGAAAGAAAUCCUUGGCUCUAAUACAGUCGGGGGAUGACGGUACCGGAAGAAUAAGCACCGGCUAACUACGUGCCAGCAGCCGCGGUAAUACGUAGGGUGCAAGCGUUAAUCGGAAUUACUGGGCGUAAAGCGUGCGCAGGCGGUUUGCUAAGACCGAUGUGAAAUCCCCGGGCUCAACCUGGGAACUGCAUUGGUGACUGGCAGGGCUAGAGUAUGGCAGAGGGGGGUAGAAUUCCACGUGUAGCAGUGAAAUGCGUAGAGAUGUGGAGGAAUACCGAUGGCGAAGGCAGCCCCCUGGGCCAAUACUGACGCUCAUGCACGAAAGCGUGGGGAGCAAAGC
rnacentral:rRNA from 1 species